rnacentral:tRNA from 1 species
AAAGAUUUAGUUUAAACAAAACAUUAGCUUGUCAAGCUAAAAAUUAGAAUCUUUA